GGAUUAGGCAUGCAAGUCGUACGAACGAGGUCCUUCGGGGCCUCGUGAGUGGCGAACGGGUGAGUAAUGCAUGGAUACCUACCCCGAUGACCGGGACAACCACUCGAAAGGGUGGCUAAUACCGGAUGCGGUCCUCACGGACCAAAGCUGGCCUCUGCUUGCAAGCUGGCGCACCGGGAGGGGUUCAUGUGCUAUUAGCUAGUUGGUGAGGUAACGGCUCACCAAGGCGAUGAUGGCUAGCCGGCCUGAGAGGGUGUCCGGCCACACUGGGACUGAGACACUGCCCAGACUCCUACGGGAGGCUGCAGUCGAGAAUCUUCUACCAAUGCGCGAAAGCGUGAUGGAGCGACGCCGCGUGGGCGAUGAAGGCCUUCGGGUUGUAAAGCCCUGUUGGAUGGGCGUAAUCCCUCGGGACGAACACUCUUCGAGGUUGAACUCCCAUCGGAGGAAGCACCGGCUAAACUCGUGCCAGCAGCCGCGGUAAUACGAGUGGUGCGAGCGUUGUUCGGAAUUACUGGGCAUAAAGAGCACGUAGGCGGUUGGGUAAGUCUGCUGUGAAAUCCCCCGGCUCAACCGGGGAACUGCAGUUGAUACUGCCUGGCUAGAGUGCGGGAGGGGAGAGCGGAAUUCCUGGUGGAGCGGUGAUAUGCGUAGAUAUCAGGAGGAACGCCGGAGGCGAAAGCGGCUCUCUGGUCCGCAACUGACGCUGAGGUGCGAAAGCUAGGGGAGCGAACAGGAUUAGAUACCCUGGUAGUCCUAGCCGUAAACGAUGGGCACUAAGUAGAGGGGUUUU
rnacentral:rRNA from 1 species